AAUUUUCAUGUACCUAGGGGGGUAUAAAUAACCCCUUCAGCCUAAUUUUCAUAAUUUCUCAUCCAUUCGUAGGAAUAAAAUUGUGAGUCCUUUUUCCUUGGAUAAAUAUUAAUUAUGCAAUUUUCCUUCAAAUUUAUGGUAAGCUUCCUUCACUUUCAUGGUUUCUUUACCCUUUACUCCAUCAAAAAUUCCGAAACCUUAGUGACUUGAUUUUGC
rnacentral:lncRNA from 1 species